AUUGAACGCUGGCGGCAUGCCUUACACGUGCAAGUCGAACGGCAGCACGGGAGCAAUCCUGGUGGCGAGUGGCGAACGGGUGAGUAAAGUAUCGGAACGUGCCCAGUCGUGGGGGAUAACGUAGCGAAAGUUACACUAAUACCGCAUACGAUCUAUGGAUGAAAGCGGGGGAUCGCAAGACCUCGCGCGAUUGGAGCGGCCGAUAUCAGAUUAGGUAGUUGGUGGGGUAAAGGCUCACCAAGCCGACGAUCUGUAGCUGGUCUGAGAGGACGACCAGCCACACUGGGAAUGAGACACGGCCCAGACUCCUACGGGAGGCAGCAGUGGGGAAUUUUGGACAAUGGGCGAAAGCCUGAUCCAGCCAUGCCGCGUGCAGGAUGAAGGCCUUCGGGUUGUAAACUGCUUUUGUACGGAACGAAAAGGUUUGGCCUAAUAAGCUGAGCUCAUGACGGUACCGUAAGAAUAAGCACCGGCUAACUACGUGCCAGCAGCCGCCGUAAGAC
rnacentral:rRNA from 1 species